rnacentral:rRNA from 1 species
AUGAACGCUAGCUACAGGCUUAACACAUGCAAGUCGAGGGGCAGCAUGGUCUUAGCUUGCUAAGGCCGAUGGCGACCGGCGCACGGGUGAGUAACGCGUAUCCAACCUGCCUUACACUCUUGGACAGCCUUCUGAAAGGGAGAUUAAUACAAGAUGUUAUCAUGAGUAAGCAUUUUCGCAUGAUUAAAGGUUUACCGGUGUAAGAUGGGGGUGCGUUCCAUUAGAUAGUAGGCGGGGUAACGGCCCACCUAGUCUUCGAUGGAUAGGGGUUCUGAGAGGAAGGUCCCCCACAUUGGAACUGAGACACGGUCCAAACUCCUACGGGAGGCAGCAGUGAGGAAUAUUGGUCAAUGGACGAGAGUCUGAACCAGCCAAGUAGCGUGAAGGAUGAAGGUUCUAUGGAUUGUAAACUUCUUUUAUACGGGAAUAAACGAAUCCACGUGUGGAUUUUUGCAUGUACCGUAUGAAUAAGGAUCGGCUAACUCCGUGCCAGCAGCCGCGGUAAUACGGAGGAUCCGAGCGUUAUCCGGAUUUAUUGGGUUUAAAGGGAGCGUAGAUGGGUUGUUAAGUCAGUUGUGAAAGUUUGCGGCUCAACCGUAAAAUUGCAAUUGAUACUGGCAGUCUUGAGUACAGUUGAGGUAGGCGGAAUUCGUGGUGUAGCGGUGAAAUGCUUAGAUAUCACGAAGAACUCCGAUUGCGAAGGCAGCUUACUAACCUGUAACUGACAUUGAUGCUCGAAAGUGUGGGUAUCAAACAGGAUUAGAUACCCUGGUAGUCCACACGGUAAACGAUGAAUACUCGCUGUAGGCGAUAUACAGUCUGCGGCCAAGCGAAAGCAUUAAGUAUUCCACCUGGGGAGUACGCCGGCAACGGUGAAACUCAAAGGAAUUGACGGGGGCCCGCACAAGCGGAGGAACAUGUGGUUUAAUUCGAUGAUACGCGAGGAACCUUACCCGGGCUUAAAUUGCAACCGAAUAUGGCGGAAACGCUAUAGCUAGCAAUAGCGGUUGUGAAGGUGCUGCAUGGUUGUCGUCAGCUCGUGCCGUGAGGUGUCGGCUUAAGUGCCAUAACGAGCGCAACCCUUGCCGAUAGUUACUAACAGGUUAUGCUGAGGACUCUGUCGGGACUGCCAUCGUAAGAUGUGAGGAAGGUGGGGAUGACGUCAAAUCAGCACGGCCCUUACAUCCGGGGCUACACACGUGUUACAAUGGGGGGUACAGAGGGCUGCUACCACGCAAGUGGAUGCCAAUCCCAAAAACCUCUCUCAGUUCGGAUUGAAGUCUGCAACCCGACUUCAUGAAGCUGGAUUCGCUAGUAAUCGCGCAUCAGCCACGGCGCGGUGAAUACGUUCCCGGGCCUUGUACACACCGCCCGUCAAGCCAUGGGAGCCGGGGGUACCUGAAGUGCGUAACCGCAAGGAGCGCCCUAGGGUAAAACUGGUGACUGGGGCU